UACGUAGGGGCCGAGCGUUGUCCGGAGUUAUUGGGCGUAAAGCGCGCGCAGGCGGCCUCGCGCGCCCGACGUGAAAACCCCCGGCUUAACCGGGGAGGGUCGUUGGGGACGGCGGGGCUUGAGGGCGGGAGAGGUCGGUGGAAUUCCCGGUGUAGUGGUGAAAUGCGUAGAGAUCGGGAGGAACACCUGUGGCGAAGGCGGCCGACUGGGCCGACCCUGACGCUGAGGCGCGAAGACGUGGGGAGCGAACGGG
rnacentral:rRNA from 1 species